AUUGAACGCUGGCGGCAGGCCUAACACAUGCAAGUCGAACGAGUGGCGGACGAGUGAGUAAUGUCUGGGAAACUGCCCGACGGAGGGGGAUAACUACUGGAAACGGUAGCUACUACCGCAUACCAUCGGAUGUGCCCAGAUGGGAUUAGUUAGUAGGUGGGGUAACGGCUCACCUAGGCGACGAUCCCUAGCUGGUCUGAGAGGAUGACCAGCCACACUGGAACGGUGACACGGUCCAAACUCAUACAGGAGGCAGCAGGAGGGAAUAUUGCACAAUGGGUGCAAGCCUGAUGCAGCCAGGCCGCGAGUAUGAAGAAGGCCUUCUGGUUGUAAAGUACUUUCAGCGAGGAGGCGUUACUCGCAGAAGAAGCACCGGCUAACUCCGUGCCAGCAGCCGCGGUAAUAC
rnacentral:rRNA from 1 species